GGGUUCCGGAGCCGCGACCUGCCCCGGCAGCCUGCGAGCCGCCCGGGCUCUGCACUCGACCCCGCGCCCCGCGUCCCCGAUCCUCAUCCCGCGCCCCCGGAUCGGCGUCCCCGAUCCGUACCCUGAGCCCCUUAUCCACAUGUCUGAUCCGCACUCCAGUGUCUGUACCGCACCGGUCGGAUAGUGGGCGCGGGAGGGAGGCGGCGGCGCGGCUGACACCUGGGCUGCGGGAGCCAGUGCGCUGCCGCCUCUGCCACCUCCGGGUCCCGCCUGGGCCAGCCAGCUGAAAACCCGAGCUGCUUGUUAAGUGGUUUGGCUCCGGGCGUGUUCCUGGCGCGAGUUCAGCUCCGGGACCGGUGCGUUUCGGUUCUCGGGUUUUUCAUUCGAAACUUUCUGCUCGGGUCGAGCGUUACUUGCGUGCUGCGGCUGCGCCCAGGUCGCUCGCUGCAGUGGGCGGUGGGUGUGUGCGCGGGCGGGUGCCGCGUGGUGCUCCGGACUGGAUCCACCGACUAUGAUAUUUCAAAUGUGCCAGCGCCAGCCACCUCCAGCCUGGACCUGCAGCCCAGUUGGGCAGCUGCUGUCGGAGAAGCCUUUCCCCGAGAGCUGGGUUUUCCUAGGCGUCAGAGCGCCGCCGCGUGUUCCUCUUUCCUACCUCUCUGGGUUUGCUGGACCAGCUAUCAACAUCUUUGCUCACAUUGUUUGCUUCGCUGUUCCUUUUGCGCAAGAAAUUUGUGUGGUGUCUUUGGUACUAUAGAGAAAGACAGAAUCGCUUUAAAUAAAAUUCCCGAAAUAUU
rnacentral:lncRNA from 1 species